AUACGUAGGUGGCAAGCGUUGUCCGGAAUUACUGGGUGUAAAGGGCGUGUAGGCGGGGGAGCAAGUCAGAUGUGAAAUUCCUAGGCUUAACCUGGGCGCUGCAUCUGAAACUGUUUCUCUUGAGUGCUGGAGAGGAGAGUGGAAUUCCUAGUGUAGCGGUGAAAUGCGUAGAGAUUAGGAGGAACACCAGUGGCGAAGGCGGCUUUCUGGACAGUAACUGACGCUGAGGCGCGAAAGCGUGGGGAGCAAACAGGAUUAGAUACCCUGGUAGUCCACGCUGUAAACGAUGGAUACUAGGUGUGGGAGGUAUCGACCCCUUCCGUGCCGGAGUUAACACAAUAAGUAUCCCACCUGGGGAGUACGGCCGCAAGGCUGAA
rnacentral:rRNA from 1 species